AUUGAACGCUGGCGGCAUGCCUUACACAUGCAAGUCGAACGGCAGCACGGGAGCAAUCCUGGUGGCGAGUGGCGAACGGGUGAGUAAAGUAUCGGAACGUGCCCAGUCGUGGGGGAUAACGUAGCGAAAGUUACGCUAAUACCGCAUACGAUCUAUGGAUGAAAGCGGGGGAUCGCAAGACCUCGCGCGAUUGGAGCGGCCGAUAACAGAUUAGGUAGUUGGCGGGGUAAAGGCUCACCAAGCCGACGAUCUGUAGCUGGUCUGAGAGGACGACCAGCCACACUGGGACUGAGACACGGCCCAGACUCCUACGGGAGGCAGCAGUGGGGAAUUUUGGACAAUGGGCGAAAGCCUGAUCCAGCCAUGCCGCGUGCAGGAUGAAGGCCUUCGGGUUGUAAACUGCUUUUGUACGGAACGAAAAGGUUUGGCCUAAUAAGCUGAGCUCAUGACGGUACCGUAAGAAUAAGCACCGGCUAACUACGUGCCAGCCGCCGCAGUAA
rnacentral:rRNA from 1 species